rnacentral:rRNA from 1 species
UGCCAUGGCCAAACUACCCUGAAUGCAGCCAGUCAUUUCUGAUCCCAAAAACUAAGUGAGGUCAGGCCUGGUUAAUACUUAGAUAGAAAAAAAUGCAAAGCCUUGGCUGUGAUUACAC